UGGAGCUAUGAUUAUCUAUUAUACCGCCCCAGUCUGAUUAUCAAUGACUGAGUGGUAUGUUCUGAGCUCAU